CGCGGCCUGUCGUCCCCUGACGGCGGCGUGGGGCAUGCUGGGACUUGUAGUCCCCCUUCCGAGGGCACCUGAUUGGUUAGUAGAGGACAGCGCUCUGUGUGGCUCCUCGGUGGAGCCGGCUCCUAGCCUGAGAGAAGGGUACAUGAGCUGUGAUGGUGCCAAAUUUCUGUGCCCCUUCAAUGUGGAACAUGUGGUCAUCAAAGAAGAUGUGGGGCCUUAUCUUAACCGAGAUGGGACCUUUGGGGGCUCCAGCAAGGAAAAGAGCUUCGUCUAUCCCUAGACCCAGCGGCGAAGGGUUUUCAGCAUGCGGGCGCCUGAACUGGCUGCACUCCUAGCUGUAACCAGGUCUCUGCUGCUUUGUGUAUGCUACAGGACUGGCUGAAUGGAAACUUCCAGCCACAGGACAUGUGGAGACAAUCAGCCUAGAUAGGUAAGAAAAAUUCAAUUGAGAAGCUAGACUGGGUGAAGAGGACUAGAAGCAGGGUUCCACAGGCUCUUAAGGCAAGUGAUAUAUAACUAAAGUAUUUAGUGUUGCAAAGGGUGGGGCUAAAAGAAAAUAUGCUAACCGCACACCAGGAAAGCAUUGGCUUUUCAGCAAAAUGCAAACAAAAAAUAAAUACUGGAAUAGUUUUGAAAGCAAAUGAUAUUUAAGUUGCCAAAAUUAGAAUACAGAAGUCAUCAUUUCUGUUUCUCGGUUUGUAUCCAGUCAGCGUUGAGCUAAUGGUAUAGAUUUCAAACUGUUGGACAGUGGUGCUUAUCCUCACUUUGUGUGUGUAGGACCAUGGCAGGUGAAUGGGACAGUUGCAGGGUGAGUAAAUGUAUGAUUGCAGGGUGAUAAAUGUAUAAUUCAUCAGCUUGAGUCUUAGGGCCAUUUUUGUGAUUGAACAACAGGCGUUAACCCUGAUGCUAUCUACUUUUCACUUUCUCUACUAGGUUAUAAAACCUCUUUG